rnacentral:lncRNA from 1 species
AAAACAUAUGAAACGUUUUUUGUUAUCAAUUUUAAAAAAUACUAUGCAUAAUAAAUAAAAGAGGCAAAGUAUGAAAAAGCAUUAAAUCAAUCAAUGAAUUUAUAUUUGGAUCCCAAGCAAUCUAAUAACAUUAAAACCACAAUGAAACUUAUAAAAUGUGUCAGUAAAUUAACUACAAGUCCAAUUAUAUCAUGCACACUCUGC